AAUAAUUUACGAGUAUAGAAUGAACCUUGAAAUCAUAAACUUUGUCGACACCUAUAAACAUGAUGUGAGCUACGAUUUCUUUGGUAAAUUAACCGAGAAAACGUUGAUGUAAUUAGGUAAGAAAUUCAAUACAUCGGAACAGGUUAUGAUAUUAUAUUUUCGUUAUCGUUCAUCAAUCGUCCUCAAAAAUAUCGCCACCGAAUGAAUACAAAUAUGAAAUUUCAAACUUUUACGAAUUUUUAUCUUCUUUAAUACGAAAUCGACUAAAACCAAUUUCCGUAAUGCAAUUUUCGUGUUCACGCAUAAACGCAAUAACGUUCAAAAAAUUGCUUGUGAAUUCGUCUCUUAUUUUAUAUGCUUCACACGCGGUUAUCUUGAGUACGAUUAAGUUCACGAUGUUUCAAAUAAACAGAUUUUGGAGAUUCCUCACGAAGGAUCGAACAAAUUGAGCGUUUGAAAAAAUAUUAAUCAUCAAAUAUAACAAACAGCUGCCUACAAUCGCAGUCCAUUCUAAAAUUGUAUCUGCCGUUGCACAAAUCGAAACAACAAUUUACACGCUUCAAUACCGCGCGGGAAAGAAUUGUCAAUAUUGCACACAGGGCUCAUUGUCGUAGCACACGUCCCUGCGGAUCUGGCGGGUAUCACGUGAAUCUUACGUAAAACACGAAAAGUGCGCAAGCCGAGAGGAAAACUACGACGAGAGGCCUCAGUCAUGCGCGGCUUCGAGCGACUCCGGCGCCACAAGGCGUUUGUUUCGUGUCAUACACAAACGUAUGCAAAUAUCCGUAAACAUCUUGAGCCAACUUUCGAUCAGUAAUUCAUCGAAUAAUGCGAAUGUGAUUUCCCGUUCAAGUCGAACCAGUAAAUUUUUUGUUGACGUUGCCCAUUUUCAGAAAUAAUUGCACUCGAGCCAUUAUUUUGUUGAACGAACUGUCAUGCUACCGAUAUUUUACUCGUGGUUAGAAAUAGAUUUUUUUUUCGUUAUUCUUCGUACGAGUCCCCCGAACUUUUGUAUUUUCUGUAACUAAAAUUCGUUGUUUUUGACGUUUCAUUUGUCAGUCGCUUUACGAUUCUCAUACGACGUUCAGAGGCUUACAGUUGGGUGGGAACUCAUGUUUUGGGCUCCGUUAUCUGCGUUAAUAUUUCGAUUAGAGUUGAAGCUUGCGUCGAUUGUUAUCGAGAAUCACCGAGCGAUGGCGCUGGCCGUGACUUCAGCUCUAAAGUAAAUUUUAUAGCCUGCACGCGGGGGAUAUUCUUUGCUCGAAGGGGACGUAAUGACACAUAAAUUCCUAGAGCGUUCCAAUUGUAGUACGUACUUAAUUAUUUUGCUUCCGUCCCAAUGCUCGGUGUGCGAACGAAGCAGCGUUCUCAUUUUGUUUUCAGUUUCAUGAACGAAGUCAUUUGGCGGAGGUCAUAAAAUGCGGGGCAUCCAGAAACGAGACCUGAAAAUUAUCUCCCCGAUGAGUAUCAGCUGACGAAUGUAUUUCGGGCAGAUAUGGACGGCCCUUGACAGCUUUCGAAGUGCCUGAGUAUUUCGAAAGAUCGAUACUUUUCAAUUUGAUGGAAAGCGACUGAUCAACUCGGCAAAGCUCGUCGUACGAUGUCGCAGCUUCGGAUUCGAGACCCGGCCAACGAGGAAUAAAAAUUUCAAAAUUUUCCACCUCUUUCUACUACGGUUGAGAGACUCGAGACCCCGAGCUCCCAUAAAUCCAUACUCGCAAAUUACCUCACUGUUCUUAACUAUAGUCGGUCUACGACUUUCGUCGUCUUCCGUGAAAGGUUCACGCUACGCGGUCGAUGCUUCCCUGUAACCAGGGUGCACCAGCAGCUGCUUCAUUGCAUCACAGUUGAAAAGCUCCUCACCCGAGUGUCUGUGCUCGCCGUACUCAAAGGUACGAACUGGUCACUCAAAGCAAAACGAAUCACCCAAAUUGAAUAUUUUCGACGCAGAUACAAGCCGGGCGUACAACGAUGGAAAAAGUGGGCUGGCAUUUCUUUAUUCUCCAUUAUCGGAAUCUUUUUUUCGUGAUUCAUGACUCAGAGCAAUAAAGUUAAAUUACUCGUUAGCUAUCAACUUUGGGGCUAAUGAAGGUCUAUACUUUUUUACUCAGAAUUCGAUAUUUUAGAAUAUAAAGCUAUAAAAAAUAUAGCUUUCAUUUGACGAAACAAAGUUGACCUCCAAAUCUUCGAGGCGUCUAUAAAAAAAAUAAAUGCACCAAAAGAACCUUUUAAACCAUGCAACUUUUGUAUAGAACAUUUUUUCGUGGAACGCAUAUAUUUUAGUCGUAAAAAAGGUGCACGCAUGUUGCGUGGACAAAUCUGUAGAAAAGCCCCUUAAAAAACUGGUUUUUUUUUCAUUCCACUAGAAUUUCUUGUGGCCUCAAUCCAGAAAAUUAUUUCCACUUCUACAGUGCUUUUUUAAACUUCUCUAAACUCUUUUUCAUUGGUUAAAUAUUUCCAGCAAAUAACCAAUGAAAUUAUAAGCGGAUUGAGAAUAUUCGUCGAGUGUAUAAUUUUGAUAAAAUUCAUAUAUUUUUCGUACUUUUGAUCCCUGAAAAGUGCGUAUGAAUCAAGAAUUUUUAAGUUUCGUGAAAAAUAUAUGGAGCAGUGAAGUACACGAGCGAAAAUAUCAAGAAAAGGAAAUAGAAAACUUAAGAAAAGUAAAGAGACAGCGAAACAUUUUCUUGCAAUGAUAUUCAGAAACGUACAAAACACUUUCCUGGAAAUACAGCGCGAAGUCGAACGGUUUCCCAAUCAAAAUUGUUAGCAGUUUUGCUCCACGACAGUAAAUUCUUACUUGAAACUGGAGAAUCUUGACUCGAUCGAAAAAGUGUGCGUUUCCAAGUAAAUUCGAAGAAUUCGUAACGUAUCGAGAAGUGCACCGAAAGAAAGCUGUUCUACAGCAUAAAUUCGAGAUUCAAGCAAAUUGGUCCCUCGAAGCUUGAGAGAAUUUUGAAUGAAUGAGAAAUUUAGCGCAGAAAUAUGUGGUCAAGUUCGUUCGGGGAGAGGCACAGCUGUGACUUCAGAAUGACGUAAAUUCCGAAAGCGUUCGUGUGAAGUUUUCGUGCAAUACAAUACACGCCGGUUCUCGAAAAGAAUGAAGCUUUUCGUUUAUGUAAAGGGCAAAGAAAAUUGAAAAGUUGCCAGAUCUUCGUCUAUUUCAGGACGCGUUAGAGAAUUCAAUUUGCCAAUGUUUCAUUCGCUCAAUCUUGCCUAGUGCAGCGCGAGCGAGCUUCAUGCAUCGUAACGUUACAUGUGUCGCAUGCGAGAAAGACGGGACUCUAGGACUUUAUCGAGGGGAAUAUCGCGCUUGGAACGAGGCGAUGCACAACGGGCAUGAAACGAGAAAAUAGACUUUUGUAGGAAACGUACAUAUCUGUAUACGAACGUGACGGUGUAGGGCUUCGAUGGGAAGAGCAGGGUGGAUGGGAGAUGUGUGAUGUGAGGAAUCAAUUUGUCAAAGUGUCCGAUACGUUGAGGAGCAGCGUCGACUCCUCGUAAAUUCGAAGAGACCGUUUUUUCAUACGAAUCCACGUACAGAUAUACUUUAAAAACUGGCAAACCUUCGAUGCUCCGUGGGAGUGCUCGAAGGGAUAAUUUUUCCUUCGUACGCUCGGAGCUCUCGCAUGUUCUUUUUAAAAUUUUGAUUUUCUUUAUGCUCGUUACCACAUCGUUUCACAGGGCUACGGAUUUUACGCUCGACGGACUGAACAAAAAAACGCUCUCGUUCUUUUUUCAUUGCCGCAUGGCAAACUUUGCUUAUCAUAAUAUUCGGCAGUAAUGCAUGCCAGAGAGUUUCCUUUGAUUCUGUGUGUGCUCCAUACAUGUUCGACGUGGCUCCAUGCCUCUUCGUUUAGUUUCCGAGAAAAUUAUUCCAAAAAUCAUGCCAGAGAUAACAGUUUUACAAUCUCUGCUAUCCGAGUACGUGUCUAUGUGCCUGUGGGCACACGUCCAUUUUCUCUCUCACGUUCACCCUCGGCAUUUCAAGUAAAGGUGUUUAAAUUACAAGUUCUAAUAUGUUAAGAAUGCAUUAAGAGUGUUAUUCCAUCGUCAGCUCGAUGGGUGAAAACAUUGAAAAAUCGAAAGACUGAUCCACAGCUCCGUGGGGUCGAUUUUGCAAUAAAGCUCUUUGGCAGUUCGUUUGAUGUGUACUGUCAUGUUACGUGUUUUUAUUAUAAAAUAAAAAUUCACUCGAUUCUUUUUAAAAUUAA